AUUGAACGCUGGCGGCAUGCCUUACACAUGCAAGUCGAACGGUAACAGGUUAAGCCGACGAGUGGCGAACGGGUGAGUAAUGUAUCGGAACGUGCCCGGUCGUGGGGGAUAACUGCUCGAAAGAGCAGCUAAUACCGCAUACGACCUGAGGGUGAAAGCGGGGGAUCGCAAGACCUCGCGCGAUUGGAGCGGCCGGUAUCAGAUUAGGUAGUUGGUGAGGUAAAGGCUCACCAAGCCGACGAUCUGUAGCUGGUCUGAGAGGACGACCAGCCACACUGGGACUGAGACACGGCCCAGACUCCUACGGGAGGCAGCAGUGGGGAAUUUUGGACAAUGGGCGCAAGCCUGAUCCAGCCGUGCCGCGUGCGGGAAGAAGGCCUUCGGGUUGUAAACCGCUUUUGUCAGGGAAGAAAAGGUUCUGGCUAAUACCCGGGACUCAUGACGGUACCUGAAGAAUAAGCACCGGCUAACUACGUGCCAGCAGCCGCAGUAA
rnacentral:rRNA from 1 species